UACGUAGGGGGCAAGCGUUGUCCGGAAUUAUUGGGCGUAAAGAGCUUGUAGGCGGUUUGUCGCGUCUGCUGUGAAAUUUCGGGGCUCAACCCCGAACUUGCAGUGGGUACGGGCAGACUAGAGUGUGGUAGGGGAGACUGGAAUUCCUGGUGUAGCGGUGAAAUGCGCAGAUAUCAGGAGGAACACCGAUGGCGAAGGCAGGUCUCUGGGCCAUAACUGACGCUGAGAAGCGAAAGCGUGGGGAGCGAACAGG
rnacentral:rRNA from 1 species